UUCUUGACUUCCAUUGAUUGUGAAGCCACAUUUUUCACCACCUGAGGGAAGAAAUUGGAGAUGUUGCAGCCUUGGGCAAUGAGAGCAAGUAAUCUCUUGAGGGCUUCACAUUUUUCGGAGUCGAAUUUGCUGUCGAGAAGGGGAGCAAUAUUGACAUCAUCAGGAUCAUCGUAGAGGUGGGCAUCCGUGCCGAUGCGGAACAUCAAACUUGAGGCUUUGCUCAGUGAAUCUGCCGUCGCGCCAAACUGUGUGAACAUUUUCUAACUCUAAUCCGAUCCACUCUUCAGCUUCAGCGAUUCAACUCCGACUAGCACCAGUUUAG
rnacentral:misc_RNA from 1 species